CAACUGGAGCUCCACCUAUUUGGGUGAAAGGCAAUAUAUAUGAGAUUGGAUCGACUGGAAUUAGUAGCUUGGGAGGUCAUAGCGAGAGAAGAACUACAUGCGUUAACAGAUUUGUUGCGGAGUAUGGACGAAUGCCUCUGGUAUAUUCAUCAGUUAAGGCUGUUGAUAGCCGCCACGCCUGGUUUUGGUGAUGCUGGACGUUCCACUAUUUUUGAAUUGCUGAAUUUCCGCUUCUUUUUGGGUAAUCAUUUGAGCAAAUCAAUUCUUUUUGAUCUGUAUAAUAGUUUAGAUUCUGCAUUAUUUGUCUUUUUGAGAUAGAAGCUAAUUUAAUAUUCUUCCUUAGAUUGAUUACUUACUAGUAGUCUCACCAUGUAACUAGAAGAUAGUUGCCACUAGUAGUAGUAAUGUAAAAUGCAAUUUACCUCUUGACUAUUACUCCUUUGAUGGAUAAAUCUAACCUUUCAAAUAUGGGAUAAAUUUUAUCAUUGCUUUUUAGAAAAAAAACAAAUAAUGCAGAAG
rnacentral:misc_RNA from 1 species